AACAACCCAACUUAUAGCGUUGAUUUUGUUUGGACUAAUUUAAAUAUUAGGCCCAAAUUAGUUAAACGGCGCCGUUUAACCUCAAUCAAAUUCCUCUUCUUUUCUUCAAUUCUGUCAACACAGUGAUUCCGAAGAAAAUCGAAGCUCACUAAUUGAAUUGAAUCUCAUUGCUACAAAUCCUCAUAUUGCUACUAGUAAGUUCACAAAUCUUUCUUCUGUUUAUCAUAAAAAAUUCAAUUUUACUCCAAAGUUCAGUUUUUUGUUUAAUUAUAAUUGCACGUAAAAAAGGGGGAAAUUCGUGGAUUUUUUCUUUUCAACUGGUUACUAAUAACAUUGCCAAUUUUUCGUCUUCAAUUUUAUUACCCAGAAGUAAUUUUGUGAAUUUUUGGGUUUUUUCUUUAAUUUUGUUUUCAAUUUUCUUAGCCUACGAGGUGUUUGAUAAAAUGUGUGUGUUGGUGAUGGGGUUUUAGAUUGCUUGGAAAUGAAGAAAGGAUUGCACCCACAGAUGCAAUGGAUAUCUUAUGUUACUCAAACGGGUAGAUUGAUGACUGUGAUGAUGNNNNNNCAAGUUCAAACGUCGUUACGGGUUAGAAAAUCCAGAGGCCACUGAAAAGAAAUGAGUUUUCUAAAGGGAGGUUUGGCUGUGUAUUUCAUGCAAUUUUUUUCGAAAAUAAAAUACUAAGGAAAAUGGUCGUGUUAUGAAGCAGUUUUUGUUCAUGUUAGUAUUUGGUAUAUUUAGUUAAACUGCCGAUAUGUUUUCUUUUUCAAUUCAUACUAACUGAUAUCUUUAGUAGCUGAAUUUUUUGUGAGUUUAUUUAGUACUAUUGCUUCAUGUUCGGUUUCUUAGCAACACUUUUAGGUAUUAACCAGAAUGUACUGAUGUUUUCUUUUUCAAUUCAUACUAACUGAUAUCUUUAGUAGCUGAAUUUUUUGUGAGUUUAUUUAGUACUAUUGCUUCAUGUUCGGUUUCUUAGCAACACUUUUAGGUAUUAACCAGGAUGUACUGAUGUUUACUUUGAAAGAGCAAAUAACUGCUUUCAAUUGGAUUACCACAUCUAGUGAUUAUUUUAGUCUCUUCAUGUGCUUUUAAGAAGUUCGAAAUUGUGAUUAUGCUACAACACUUUCAGUCUUUGUAUGUCUUUAUUUUACUUGGAAACACAAAAUAUAUCCUAUAAUUGAGAUAUGAUAAAACUAUGAAUAUUCUGUGUGAACUGUCAUCAAUUAUAGCUCAGCAUAGAGUUUCCAUCAGUAGAAUAUAAUUUUUCUAUACUGUUCAUAAACAUUCAGCUUAUACAUGACCAAACCAAAACAAAAAAAUAGACAUCACAUUCAUCUAUG
rnacentral:lncRNA from 1 species